UACGUAGGGUGCAAGCGUUAAUCGGAAUUACUGGGCGUAAAGCGUGCGCAGGCGGUUGUGCAAGACAGAUGUGAAAUCCCCGGGCUCAACCUGGGAAUUGCAUUUGUGACUGCACGGCUAGAGUGUGUCAGAGGGGGGUAGAAUUCCACGUGUAGCAGUGAAAUGCGUAGAGAUGUGGAGGCAUACCGAUGGCGAAGGCAGCCCCCUGGGAUAACACUGACGCUCAUGCACGAAAGCGUGGGGAGCAAACAGG
rnacentral:rRNA from 1 species